CCCCUAGACGUUCUGGGCUGCACGCGCGCUACAAUAAUACGCACAGCGAGUAUCACCGAGCUCGAAAGGGCAAGGUAAACAAUAGAAAAGGUACUGUAAUGGUUAUAGAUCCUUGUAAUUAUUGAUCUUCAACGAGGAAUUCCUAGUAAGUAUGUGUCAUCAUCACGCACUGAUUACGUCCCUGCCCUUUGUACACACCGCCCGUCGCUCCUACCGAUUGAGUGAGCCGAUGAAACUGUCGGAUGUGGACUAUUCAUAGUCUGCAGAAGAUAUUUGAAUCGUAGCGCUUAGAGGAAGGAGAAGUCGUAACA
rnacentral:rRNA from 1 species